rnacentral:rRNA from 1 species
AUACGGAGGGUGCAAGCGUUACUCGGAAUCACUGGGCGUAAAGCGCGCGCAGGCGGUCUUUUAAGUUGGAUGUGAAAGCCUACGGCUCAACCGUAGAACUGCAUCCAAAACUAUUAGACUAGAGUGUGGGAGAGGAAGAUGGAAUUAGUUGUGUAGGGGUAAAAUCCGUAGAGAUAACUAGGAAUACCAAAAGCGAAGGCAAUCUGCUGGAACACUACUGACGCUGAGGCGCGAAAGCGUGGGGAGCAAACAGGAUUAGAAACCCUAGUAGUCC